rnacentral:rRNA from 1 species
AGUGAACGCUGGCGGUAGGCCUAACACAUGCAAGUCGAACGGCAGCACAGUAAGAGCUUGCUCUUACGGGUGGCGAGUGGCGGACGGGUGAGGAACACAUCGGAAUCUACUUUUUCGUGGGGGAUAACGUAGAGAAACUUACGCUAAUACCGCAUACGACCUACGGGUGAAAGCAGGGGAUCUUCGGACCUUGCGCGAUUGAAUGAGCCGAUGUCGGAUUAGCUAGUUGGCGGGGUAAAGGCCCACCAAGGCGACGAUCCGUAGCUGGUCUGAGAGGAUGAUCAGCCACACUGGAACUGAGACACGGUCCAGACUCCUACGGGAGGCAGCAGUGGGGAAUAUUGGACAAUGGGCGCAAGCCUGAUCCAGCCAUACCGCGUGGGUGAAGAAGGCCUUCGGGUUGUAAAGCCCUUUUGUUGGGAAAGAAAAGCAGCAGGUUAAUACCCCGCUGUUCUGACGGUACCCAAAGAAUAAGCACCGGCUAACUUCGUG